rnacentral:misc_RNA from 1 species
GAAAUGCGUAUACAAUUUGUUUGCCUAACAUUUCAGGUGCAAUUAGCAUGGAAGGCGGUAAAUUUCCCGUGAAGUUGUUAACACCGAAAUUAUGAAAUACUGCAUGGUUACCAUCACCUGCAAAUAAUGUAGUGUCUAGAACACUUCUACUGGUGAAAUGUGCUAGAUAUGCAGAUGAUGUAUCAUAGGGCCCAAAUGGAUCUCCACCGCUGGAAACAACAUGAGCACAACUGUAAUUGGAAAACCUGGGAAUUGAACCAGAGAGAUAAUUCCCACUCACAUCGAACACAAACAUGCAAGGAACUGGCAGUUUCUCAACAAGCUGUCCAGUCAGCCUAUUUGAGCUCAAGUCAAGAAAAUGCAACUUCUG